AUGCUCCGGAACGUGCUCUCCGUCCUCGUCCCGGGCUGCCCCGCGCUCGCCCACGUCUGCCUCCAGACCGGCCGCAAGCACUACAUCGGCCCGUACGAGGCCAUCGGCAAGAUCCCCGUCCCAGACCCGCCCUACACCGAGGAUAUGCCCCGCCUCGAUUACCCCAACUUCUACUACGACCAGGAGGACGUCCUCUUUGAGGAGGUCUCCCGCCGCGACGGCGCCGUCAGCUGGUCUGUGCACCGUCCCUCCGUGGUCUUUGGGUUCUCUCCCCGGAGCGCCAUGAAUGUCGUGGCCAGCCUAUCCGUCUAUGCCGCCAUCUGCCGCAAGGAGGGCGCCAUGCUGAGGUGGCCUGGGAGCAGGGUUGCAUGGGAGGGCUUCAGCGACGCCUCCGACGCGGAUCUUGUCGCCGAGCAGGAGAUCUGGGCAGCCGUCGAUCCGUUGGCAAGGAACGAGGCUUUCAAUUGCAGCAAUGGAGAUUUAUACAAGUGGAAGCAGCUCUGGCCGAUGGUGGCUGACCGAUUCGGGGUGGAGUGGGCGGGAUACGAGGGAGAGGACAGCCAGUUCAUGCUCGCCGACGCCAUGGCCGGGAAGGAGGCGGUGUGGGCAGAGAUCCUCCAGGAGAACGAGCUUGUCACGACUGAGCUCCAAGAGAUUGCCAAUUGGUGGUUCCUCGAUGCCGUGUUCAAUGUCAAGUGUGAGCAUUUGGAUAGCAUGAACAAGAGCAAGGAGCAUGGAUUCCUUGGAUUCCGUAACACGGCCAAGUCCUUCAACGCAUGGAUUGAUAAGAUGAAGGUUUUGAAGAUUGUUCCAUGA
rnacentral:rRNA from 1 species